AAAGUGAUGACUCCCUCCAGAUCGUGAAAAGUGAAAGACUCCCCUACCAGCUUGUGAUAAUAUUUUGACUUGGUUUUGGCUCGUUAAAGACUAGCGGCUGAUUAACAGGGAGAGUUGGGGGCAUUAAUAUUUAAUUGACACACGUGAACUUCUUGGAUUUGUGAGAGAUUAAGUUCUGCGAAAGCGUCUGCCCCCGGGGUUUUCAUUGGGCAAGAAGGGGGGGAGGGGAUCCAAGACUACCAGAAAUCCUCGUAUUCUUAACCAUAAACGAUUUCGACCCCCUAUUCAGAGACGUCCAAACCAAAAAAAUCCAUUUUUUGCGUUCAUCUUUUGGGAUUUUUUUCAAAGCCUGCGCGCGGAUGGCUUCGCCGGUGGCGACGCUGAAUGACUCCCCUACCACCUUGAAAAAAUUUAUACCGCAACAAACCGGGUGCAGACGGGGGCUAUAUUACUAUAACCCGUACUACACUGUGAUGAUCCUUCCGCGCGGUUCCCCUACGGACACCUGUGUCAACAUUUUCUUCCCCACAUUUGGCCCCAGAGA
rnacentral:rRNA from 1 species